GCCUACGGGAGGCAGCAGUGGGGAAUAUUGGACAAUGGGGGGAACCCUGAUCCAGCCAUGCCGCGUGUGUGAAGAAGGCCUUAUGGUUGUAAAGCACUUUAAGCGAGGAGGAGGCUACUGAGACUAAUACUCUUGGAUAGUGGACGUUACUCGCAGAAUAAGCACCGGCUAACUCUGUGCCAGCAGCCGCGGUAAUACAGAGGGUGCGAGCGUUAAUCGGAUUUACUGGGCGUAAAGCGUGCGUAGGCGGCUUUUUAAGUCGGAUGUGAAAUCCCCGAGCUUAACUUGGGAAUUGCAUUCGAUACUGGGAAGCUAGAGUAUGGGAGAGGAUGGUAGAAUUCCAGGUGUAGCGGUGAAAUGCGUAGAGAUCUGGAGGAAUACCGAUGGCGAAGGCAGCCAUCUGGCCUAAUACUGACGCUGAGGUACGAAAGCAUGGGGAGCAAACAGGAUUAGAUACCCUUGUAGUCCU
rnacentral:rRNA from 1 species